UCCGGUUUAACACCGGCAGUCUCUUCAGAGUGCUCAACUUAAUGGUGGCAACUAAAGACAAGGGUUGCGCUCGUUGCGGGACUUAACCCAACAUCUUACGACACGAGCUGACGACAGCCAUGCAGCACCUGUGUCCACGUCCCCGAAGGGAAGAUGAUAUUCUCUACCAUCGUCGUGGCAUGUCAAACCCAGGUAAGGUUCUGCGCGUUGCUUCGAAUUAAACCACAUACUCCACCGCUUGUGCGGGCCCCCGUCAAUUCCUUUGAGUUUUAGUCUUGCGACCGUACUCCCCAGGCGGGAUACUUAAUGCGUGAGCUUUGAUACUCAGAGGGUUAACUCUCCGAACAUCUAGUAUCCAUCGUUUACGGCGUGGACUAC
rnacentral:misc_RNA from 1 species